UACGAGGGGUGCAAGCGUUAUUCGGAUUGAUUGGGUGUAAAGGGUGUGCAGACGGCUUACUAAGUCACUUGUUAAAUUCCUCGGCCUAACUGAGGGUGUGCAGGUGAUACUGGAGAGCUAGAGGGUGGAAGAGAGAAGUGGAAUUCUCGGAGUAGCGGUAAAAUGCGUAGAUCUCGAGAGGAACACCAAUGGCGAAGGCAGCUUCUUGGUCCAUUCCUGACGUUCAUACACGAAAGCGUGGGGAGCAAACAGG
rnacentral:misc_RNA from 1 species